rnacentral:rRNA from 1 species
AGGGUGAACGCUAGCGGCGUGCCUUAAGCAUGCAAGUCGAACGGUGGUAGCAAUACUACAGUGGCGGACGGGUGAGUAACGCGUAGGAAUCUACCCUAAAGUGGGGGAUAACUCGCCGAAAGGCGAGCUAAUACCGCAUGUGAAUGCAAAUUCAAAGCUCUUAACUGAGCGCUUUAGGAGGAGCCUGCGUCCCAUCAGCUUGUUGGUAGGGU